GGUGGGUGCUCUGCGUGGACAUUCUGGCAGGCCCCAGAGUAUGUAUCUGGCCUCUUUUGUAGCAGGAACUGGGGUGGAGACAGCCCCUAAAUCAAUGGGCACAUUCCCCAGGUACCUGGUCCCCGAGGCUGUUACCAGGCAUUGCAAACAUUGGCACUGUCUCCCCACCUUUCCCUCUCAGCCAGAAGGAUCCCUGGAGGUUUGCCACCUUGCAGACCUGCAGACAUUGGUCUCAGGGUGCCGUCUGGGUGCUUCUGAGCCCCAGAGAUGGUGGCAGGGAUGAGCAGGGCUCAGUGGAGCCUGGGGCACCCCAACCCUGCUGCCCACGGUGGGAGGGGAGGCAGGACUCGUGACCCUCCACUGACCACGUCUAAUGCAACUGUGCAGUGGGUGGGCGCCCGGUUCCCCCACACCACCAUUCAUGUGGUUUAUCUUACCUCCCCAGAGGGAGGCUUCUGGUCCUUUGGGUGCAAGAUCCUGUGGCAGAGAGCUUUUUAGGUAGCCUCAGCCCUUGGUCCUAGAGAGCCCCUUAAUCAAAGUGGGCCCUUAGGGAGCCUCUACUUCUAUCCAGAUGGCCUCAGACUGGGCCACACACAUGCAGGAUUUGUGGUGGGGGGUGGGGAGGUUAGAGGGAGCCGGGGGCUGCAGAGGGCCUGGGGAAUGGGGAGGAGCAGGCAAGGAGAGUGCAUAGGACACCCCCUGCCCCACACAUCCAGCUCAUCAGACAUUCCCCUCUGGGCACUCUUGUCUCCCAAGACACCCUGCAGAUUUGCAGUUCUUAGAGGAGGCCAUCCCUCCCUCCACCUUCCAAGACACUUAAUAAACUCCAUGGCUUCCAUGUUUCCCUCCAUGUCUAGAAGCUCCAAGUAGAGAAGCUCCUGUUCCUAAAGGCUGAGAGCCAGGAGUGGGGGUCCCACCUACCUGGACUGUGGAGAGGAUACCCAGUGUUCCCUCCACAAAGCCGCUAGCCCUGGGGGCCUGUCCGCAGGCACGGGAACCAGUAAAAUCCGGGACUCCGGGCUGCAAGGCUGUAGUAGCAGAUGUUCCCCGGGCAGCCUGUGGUGCUGUUAGAGGUUUGUAAUCCCCCCACCCCACCUCUCGAGCUAUCCCAGGCAGGAUGACGCCAGCAGGGCUCUGGCAGCCUCGGCCCCUGCCUUGCUGAAGGGAAACGUCAGCUCUGGUGCCCUGGGCACAGAAGGGAUUACCAGAGGCUGACUGAGGCCCCAGGGUUUGGGGAAGAGAGCGUGGGGCUAAGCCUCAGGGGUCCAUCUCUAAUCCCUGCUCUGUCACCGACUGGCUGGGCACCAGCGAUUCUCCCUCUGUCCCUCGGAGUCUUGGACAAGCCCACCUCUUAUGUGGGGGGAGGGGGUGGGAAUUCAAGCUACCAAUUUGUGCACUUUAAGUACGUUCUACUUCAAGUUUAUUUAAAUAUUUAAUUUAAUUAAAUAUUUAAAUAUUCAGGAGGUUGCCCUACCAAACAUCUCAACUACAAAGCUCUCUGCUAUUGACCUUGGCUCCACCCAUUCCCAGGGCUGCCCAGGCCUUGGCACUUGGUGCUGGCAUUCCCUCGGGAUGCAGGCCCCUCUCCCUGUUGGCUCUGACUACCCCCUGCCCUCCAGCUCACACCCCAUCCUGCACCCCUUAGCUCUUCUCUCGCCAGCACCUGCCUCUCCGCCCCACCCAGCAGUGCAGAUCCUGUGUCCAUCUCGGGCUCCUGGGGGUCCUGGAGGUUGGAUUUCACAGGUGCACUCUUUUGACCCCCUGCAGAGGAAGCUUCUGCUCCUACCCACACAGCUUGGGACGGACCUCUGAGGGUCCUUCCUGUCCUGGCAGCCUGUGAGUGCCACUGCUUACAGCACUUGCUAUGUGCCGGGCCCUGGAUACGCGUCUCCUUUAAUCCACACGGAAGCCCGGCCAAAUGAGUAUUAACCACGUUAUAGAGAAGGAAACCGAGGCACAGACAGGUUCAGUAACCUGCUCAGAGCCAUCCAACAAGUGAAGGGGGAGGGGCAAAGCCGGGUCAGCCUCCUGACAUGCACUGCCACGGCUGCACUGGUGGGACCCACUCAUCUCACAAUGAGACUCCUGUUUCCUGUCUUCAUGAUUCUCCUGCUGGUUUUCAGUGUCCUCACAGGUGCACUCUUUCGACCCCCCCGCAGAGGAAGCUCCUGUUCCUACCCAUACGGUUUGGGACACAGCCCCUGACCGUGGAGUGACCCCGUCCCGAUGCCCCCGCCCACCCACCACAUGCAUUCCUCCUGUCUCUGGGUCCCCUUCUCCCAGGGCCCCUCUGCACUCUGAGGCCCACCUGCCUGCUAGAAGGGACCCUCAACAGACCUCUCAGGACCGACCAGAGACCUCCUUGGGCUUGGUUGGUGGGGUGGUCAUGUCCAAGACCUCAGCUGGGCA
rnacentral:lncRNA from 10 species